GGAGAUGUGGCAGAGAGGUUUAAUGCACCACUUUCGAAAAGUGGCAUACCGAAAGGUAUCGUGAGUUCAAAUCUCACCAUCUCCGCAA
rnacentral:tRNA from 1 species